rnacentral:lncRNA from 1 species
CAUAAUCAAAAUUCCAACCCAACCAAUCACCAUUAAAUCUUAUGAUAAUGAAUAUUCUAUUGUGUUGGAUAAGUGAGGAUUGUAUGGAUUGAAUUUUACUUACAUAAUUUUAUUUUUGUGUUAAUCCUAUGAUCCACCAGGGGAAAUGAAGAUUGACUAAUGCAAAGUUUAGUUUAAAGAUAAGUAAAGUCUGAUUAAGAAUUGUUUUUGUUAAGGAUCGAACUCAAAUACUACACAAACGACUCAACCUUAUUUUCAGCAUAUUAAUUACUUAUGUUCAACCACUUGGUUUAACUACACAAUUUGGCAUGUCAUGACAUGACCCUCUUUGCUCGCGCCUGGCAAGGGUACUAGGUGCUCCGAUGAAAGCUGAACUAAAGAACAUGAGAAAUCCAAACUGAAGAAGAGACAUCUACAAACCUCUAAGUCUACCCAUCUCUUCACUAAAUUCUGUUUUCUGCUGACCUUACAUGUUUUGUUUUCUUCAGGAUGGCACAUUACGUACAGAUAUAUAGGCAUUUAUGUGGUUAGCUUGAAAAAAACUCAUGAAUGGUUUUCAUUGAGUGCAAGAAUUCCAUAUCUAUUUUAAAAGCAU